rnacentral:rRNA from 1 species
UACGUAGGGGGCGAGCGUUGUCCGGAUUUAUUGGGCGUAAAGAGCGUGUAGGCGGCCGUGUAGGUCCGUUGUGAAAACUGGAGGCUUAACCUCCAGCGGUCGAUGGAAACCAUCUGGCUAGAGUCCGGAAGAGGAGAGUGGAAUUCCUGGUGUAGCGGUGAAAUGCGCAGAUAUCAGGAAGAACACCCGUGGCGAAGGCGGCUCUCUGGGACGGUACUGACGCUGAGACGCGAAAGCGUGGGGAGCGAACAGG